rnacentral:rRNA from 1 species
UCGGAGUGCUUGCACUCUGUGAAACAAGAUACAGGCUAGCGGCGGACGGGUGAGUAACACGUGGGUAACCUGCCUAAGAGAUCGGGAUAACACCUGGAAACAGAUGCUAAUACCGGAUAACAACAGAUGAUGCCUAUCAACUGUUUAAAAGAUGGUUCUGCUAUCACUCUUGGAUGGACCUGCGGUGCAUUAGCUAGUUGGUAGGGUAACGGCCUACCAAGGCGAUGAUGCAUAGCCGAGUUGAGAGACUGAUCGGCCACAUUGGGACUGAGACACGGCCCAAACUCCUACGGGAGGCAGCAGUAGGGAAUCUUCCACAAUGGACGCAAGUCUGAUGGAGCAACGCCGCGUGAGUGAAGAAGGGUUUCGGCUCGUAAAGCUCUGUUGUUGGUGAAGAAGGACAGGGGUAGUAACUGACCUUUGUUUGACGGUAAUCAAUUAGAAAGUCACGGCUAACUACGUGCCAGCAGCCGCGGUAAUACGUAGGUGGCAAGCGUUGUCCGGAUUUAUUGGGCGUAAAGCGAGUGCAGGCGGCUCGAUAAGUCUGAUGUGAAAGCCUUCGGCUCAACCGGAGAAUUGCAUCAGAAACUGUCGAGCUUGAGUACAGAAGAGGAGAGUGGAACUCCAUGUGUAGCGGUGAAAUGCGUAGAUAUAUGGAAGAACACCGGUGGCGAAGGCGGCUCUCUGGUCUGUUACUGACGCUGAGGCUCGAAAGCAUGGGUAGCGAACAGGAUUAGAUACCCUGGUAGUCCAUGCCGUAAACGAUGAGUGCUA